rnacentral:rRNA from 1 species
AUUGAACGCUGGCGGCAGGCCUAACACAUGCAAGUCGAACGAGUGGCGGACGGGUGAGUAAUGUCUGGGAAACUGCCCGAUGGAGGGGGAUAACUACUGGAAACGGUAGCUAAUACCGCAUACCAUCGGAUGUGCCCAGAUGGGAUAAGCUAGUAGGUUGGGUAACGGCUCACCUAGGCGACGAUCCCUAUAUGGUCUGAGAGGAUCACCAGCCACACUGGAACUGAUACACGGUCCAGUCUCCUACGGGAGGCAGCAGUGGGGAAUAUUGCACAAUGGGCGCAAGCCGGAUGCAGCCAUGCCGCCUGUAUGAAGAAGGCCUUCGGGUUUUAAAGUACUUUCAGCGAGGAGGCGUUACUCGCAGAAUAAGCAACGGCUAACUCCGUUCCAGCGGGCGCGGUAAUAC